CUCAGAAACUUACACCGCCUCAUUUAAUAAGUUUAAUAAAAGCACCCUCUAAUCCUCAUUGCAGACAUCGCAGAACGAAUUUACAAACCCUAAUGAAAAUUUUACCUUUCUCUUUCUUUCGCAGAAUUCGGCGAUAAUUGAAAUUCCACUAGUUUUCCCAUCAUUAUUAUUAUUAUGAUGGAAUGCGAAGUUCCGGAAUUCGAAUUCAUAGUGUUCUCCAGAACACCAUCUUUUCGGUUUCUGGAUAUCAAAUUCCAUAAUAAUUGAGAAUUUUCAAUUUAUAUGAGUGGUAAUGGAUCAAUUCUUUACUCUGAAAAUUUCCAUUAAUAGAAGUCCAUUAUUGGAGUGCAUGCACUUUCGCUUGCGCCUCCUCCUUCGCCUGCGCCUCUUCUGGGUUUAACCAGGUCCGAGGAAGAUGUUUCGUCAUCCGCGAGUGAAUUGUUCACAGGAUUGAUGACUCUAAUUGUCGUAAAUGGAAAGAUAAAGAAGAUCAAAUUAUGCGGCAUAAGGAGCUUAUCACCAUUAUAUUAUCCACUAUAGGAAAGGAACGUUGAAUCAAGGCAUACAUUGGAAAAAAAAAACGUGUGAUUCUACACCAAAAGGUCUGGAAGGCCUUGGUCUUCGCAGCAUUAGAACUUUUAAUGAUGUAAAAAGCCUGGCGCAUUCAACAGCAUCCUCAGCUUUUUAUCUCUAGAGCUUAUCAUAAUACUCGCCUACAAUCGAGUGCAAAUUUAUAUAUCCUAGGGCUCACGAGGAAUAUUGAAGGCAACAUCCACCUUAAAGCAUUGUGCCUUGAAAGUUUGCGAUGGUCGAAGUUACUACCCGCUCAAGAUAAAUGGGUUCAUGGUCACACUUCAAUCAUGAGGGAUGAUGUUUCUUUACUUGUGGCCGCUAGGUUUAAAGUUGUUGAUCUUAUUUCUCUUAAUGGCAAAGAAUGGAACGAUAGACAAGUUUGUAGUCUCUUUAUCUCUUCCAGUGCUCGUCAGAUUCUAGAUAUGGAACUUCCCACUAACUCCCUUUUGAAAGGUGAGUUAUAUUGGCCACAUACAAAAUCUAGUGAGUAUUCCACCAAAUCCGUUUACGUUCUUGUUAUUAAGCAAAAACAAAAUGAUAUUUGUAGCAUUAUAA